rnacentral:rRNA from 1 species
GGCUCAGGACGAACGCUGGCGGCGUGCUUAACACAUGCAAGUCGAGCGAUGAAGCUCCUUCGGGAGUGGAUUAGCGGCGGACGGGUGAGUAACACGUGGGUAACCUGCCUCAUAGAGGGGAAUAGCCUUUCGAAAGGAAGAUUAAUACCGCAUAAGAUUGUAGUACCGCAUGGUACAGCAAUUAAAGGAGUAAUCCGCUAUGAGAUGGACCCGCGUCGCAUUAGCUAGUUGGUGAGGUAACGGCUCACCAAGGCGACGAUGCGUAGCCGACCUGAGAGGGUGAUCGGCCACAUUGGGACUGAGACACGGCCCAGACUCCUACGGGAGGCAGCAGUGGGGAAUAUUGCACAAUGGGGGAAACCCUGAUGCAGCAACGCCGCGUGAGUGAUGACGGCCUUCGGGUUGUAAAACUCUGUCUUUGGGGACGAUAAUGACGGUACCCAAGGAGGAAGCCACGGCUAACUACGUGCCAGCAGCCGC